CUAGCGGGAGCCUAGAAACCGGGGACGGGAAUUUUCAUCCAGGCUCCUCUGCGUAGCCUCCUGGUGUGGUAUUAAUCUGCGGUGGCUGGUUGAACACUGCUACACCCACACAUGGAGGACAAGCAGCUGCAAAAAGGAACCAAUGCCUGAUAUACACAAUGGCCUGGAUGCACUGCAGGGAAUUAUGUCACAUGGACAAGGCAUCUCAAAGGUUACAAACUGUGAUUCUAUUUAUAUAAUACUCUUGGAAUGACAAAAUUACAGCAAUGGAGGGCAGACUCAUGGGUUAAAGAUUGGGUGCAGAUAGAUAUAAGGGGUCACCAGCACAUGGCAGCCCAUGGAGACGGAACAGCUGUCUUGUGUUGGUGACAACAGUGAACAGAUUCCCCUACUUGAGAACAUGUGAAACUGAUGAGGAGUCAGCUCUGUAACCUGUCCCAAUAUCAGUCUCUGUUGUGAACCUGUAAUUUAAAAUAAAAGCUAAAAAAUUU